UUUGGUCAGAAUAGGGAACUCCUUACACUUCCCAAGUCACUUCCCCUUCAGGGAAGGCUACGAUUUUACUUGCAUUAGAUAUAAAUUCCUGUUCAUGCAUUUAUUUGUCCGUGUUUGCACAGCUGCACCUGGGUUCGUGCAGCGCUCGUGAAUUUGCUGAUAAAGGCAAUUUUAGGCUGAGGUUUGAUUUCUAUCAGGUCAGGGAUGGAAUUUCACUUGCUGGUAUGAUGAACAUGUAACAUGUGCUAUUUGAUUAUGACGGUAAGCCUGCACACCUGUACGUGAUAAAACGUGUUUUCUGGGAGUUCCCAUGGUGGCUCCUUGCUUUCCCCACCUCGAAGCCCACCUUAGCUCAGCCUGCUUAAAACGGUAGAUGGUCUAAUUCCCAUUAAUUUACUAACAUCAAAGCCGCCAGGCCGCAGGGGACAGACUGCCAGCUCCCAGGGGGUUCUGGUCCCCCGGCUGUCGCGUGGUGGGCACCCGCCCACAUCUGGGGUGCGGUGGAGGUCGGCGUUCUAGCAGUCCCCUGAGCCAUCCCGUGCGUGACCCCCCUUCCCCGCCCGCACACUCUGCAGUUGAAGGGACAUGCUGCCCGAAGGCCACGGCCGCAGCCGACCCGUGGCCAGUGGCCCGGGGGGCCCGGGUGUGCGGACUCAGCCCUGUGGUUUCCAGGUGCCAGCAGAGUCAACCUGGUGCGGAUCCCAUCCACGGCCUCCAGCCCGCGGGACACAGCCCUGGCCGCCGUGAUCUGCAGCGCCCUGGCCACCGUCCUGCUCGCCCUCAUCAUCCUGUGUGUCAUCUACUGCAAGCGGCAGUUCAUGGAGAAAAAACCCAGCUGGUCCCUGAGGGCGCAGGACCUGCCGUACACCGGUUCUGAACUGUCCUGUUUCGACAGACCCCGGCUGGGCGCUUGUGCUCAGUGCCGCGGCAACUCGGCCCAGACCUGCGGUAAGUCUGCCCCCGGGCCCUGGGGGACCAGCGGGUCGCGGCCCCGAAGCUGCAGAGGCGUGCUCCUGCCUGGUUUUCCAGCGAGAGCCAAUCCGGUUCCAUCAUGCUCCCCAUCCCCUGACGGCUGGAAGGGUGGGGGUUUCUUCCGUUUUAAACAGAAAAUAAGCAUCUCCUUAAAAUUCUAGAAUCCCUCCGUAAGUUUUCAGGCAAGUUCGCCUUUAUUGCGUGGGGUCAAUUGAUGGAAAGUCCUAGGAGCCUUUUGUGGGGUGUGGGCGUCUGUCUCCUUUCUUGUCUGGUGGGUUCAAGCUGAGCCUGAGUGUGGCAAUCUUAGGGUCUUCUGGAAUUUCUUAAAGACGUCGG
rnacentral:lncRNA from 1 species